UAUGCUUCAUAUAUAUAAACUAUAACAUUGACACUAUUUUUAUUAGUAAAAAACACUUUAAAAAUAUAUAAAUAACACUAGACAAAAGUUGAAAUAAAAUACUAAAAACGGUAUGCUUCAUAUUUAUAAACUAUAACAUUGACACUAUUUUUGUUAGUAUAAAACACUUUUAAAAUAUCUAAAUGACAAUAUUUUUGUUAAUAAAUGACAUUAUCUGCAUUAAUAAAUAAAGCCUAAUAUUUGAAAGAAAAAAAACAGAAAAUUUCGCCCAAAAGAAGAAAUAAACAGCAAAAUUUUUAAAAAAAUAAAGAAGAAAGAAAUAAAACAGCAAAAAAAAGAAAAGAAAUAAAAUAGCAAAUUUUGCAAAAAAAAAAUUUUAAAAAAAUAGAAAUAAAUUAAACAACAAUUUCGCUGCUACUGGGCUUCGAACCUUAGACUUGAAGUAUGGUAAACAGGCUCCUAAAACAACUAAGCUAAGGACUCUAUUGAUAUUAAUUUCAUUAACACUAAUAUAUAAUGUAUAAACUCGAUGCAAUUUUUUUUUUUAUUUCUGGACCAGAUCCGGGUCGGGUCGUGACCCAGGAUCCGCGCGCACCAUGUGAGCGCUGAGUUUGUUAAGCG
rnacentral:lncRNA from 1 species